GCAUGGCCUGCACCAAAUAAGGAACUGAACCAGGGGGCCAAAUCCUUGUAGCUGUCUUCUUGCCCCGGUCAGUGCCAGCCGUACUAUUCACAACACUGCUGCUACCGAGGCCUAGGAUCAGUUCUUAAGAGCAGCCCCGGUAACUGGAGGAAUGGGAGCCGUUUUGAUGAGAAAAAUGGGCUGGAGAGAAGGAGAAGGAUUAGGAAAAAACAAAGAAGGCAAUAAGGAACCCAUCCUAGUUGAUUUUAAGACAGACCGAAAAGGUCUUGUUGCAGUAGGAGAAAGAGCACAAAAGAGGUCUGGGAACUUCUCUGCUGCAAUGAAAGAUCUGUCAGGCAAACAUCCUGUGUCUGCUUUGAUGGAGAUCUGUAAUAAAAGAAGGUGGCAACCACCUGAAUUUCUAUUGGUCCAUGAUAGUGGCCCUGAUCAUCGCAAACAUUUUCUCUUUAGGGUAUUGAUAAAUGGAAGCGCUUACCAGCCCAGCUUUGCCAGCCCUAAUAAGAAGCAUGCUAAAGCCACAGCAGCUACUGUGGUUCUUCAAGCAAUGGGCCUUGUACCAAAGGACCUCAUGGCUAAUGCCACUUGCUUCAGGAGUGCCUCACGUAGAUAGAUUGAGGUUUUAUAAUAAUCAUUUCAGAUAAUUUUACUCUGCAUCACAAUGUAUUUCCUCUUUAAUGUUGUAAAUAUUUGGCAAUUUAAGACAUUGUGUAAAAAGCAAUCUGUAAAAACAUCUCCAGGCUUUGAUUUUUGUACCAUGGAAAUUGUAUUUAACCAUACAGGGUUUUGGUAUGUUUAUAUUG
rnacentral:sRNA from 1 species